AGCGUAGUUCCUAAUUAUGCCUUGACCACUCUUUAUUGCCGUUUGUGUUUCAACCGUGAAAAUUAAUUUUGGACUUUUAUUUUUUUCAUUACUGGCUCAAUGUGCCAUUUGUUUGACGGUCAAGGUCUCGCGUAGCUACUAAGCUUUGCAAUUAUUGACGUAGGUCAUGAUGAAGCUUUAGUUUUCUUCUUCCCACUUUUGUUCGCAAUAAUCGCAUACUCAUAUGCGUUCCGCGAUUAUUGCUGUAUCGGAGACGUGAUUAAUCCUAUACAAUUGGCGAUGCCUGUCAUCAGUGGAUUAAUAUUUGUGUCAUCAUCUAUCUUGUCAUCUUGUCACUUGUCAUCUUUUGUGAUAUUUAGCUGUAAAAGUUAAAUUCAUGUAAUGAUGUGAAAUAACAAAAAUUUGAUCAUGUAUUAGUAAACUAAAAGAGAGAGAGAAAAAAAAAACGUUCCUGUUUCGAACCUUAGAUCCUCUGAUCUUUGGUUUCGCUGUUUACUUUGAGUCCAGUUGUGAGGAACUCGAAUGAAAAGGUAUUUUAUUGAUGUUAUUUUAUGUGAUCAACUCACGUGUUUGACCCACUGUGAGUUGAUAUAUUUUUAGGUUUCCAUUCCAAUUGGAAAAUUUUCGAUGGACUUGAUUCACUGGUAUGUGUGAAACCGUGUCAAUCGACUAAUAAAAAUGCAAUUAUGCAUUAUUGAUUGUCGUCAUUCUUAAUUUGUUUCGGUAUGGGCAGUACGGGUCGGUACCCCUGGUUUUUUAGUUUGAUUUGUUCAUUAAAUUAAAAAAAAAUUCUGAGGUUAUCUUAGUGGCGUGUGACUAGCCACGGAUUAGAAUGUAGUGUCGUAGUAGUGGAAUAUUCUGUGCCAGAAAGUGGAAUAUUCUGUGCCAGAAUAGUGUGGUGAACAGUCCGCUAUGGCGGUGAGGUUGGAUGGGUUGAAUCCUGUUGCUGGUUCCAGUGCCCUGUGAGCUGCUCCCUGUCCGUGGGAUCUAUUGCGAUUGGAUUUCGAAAACUUGAAUUCGCGUAACACUGGUCAACAGUCGAUCUCGGAUUGUUAUUAUUGUUCCUCUAACACUUUCACUGUUUCUUCUUCUAAUCCUUUUUAUUUGUUCUUUUAGGUUUCGACCAUCUUCGAGGAGGAGCCCUUAGAAAUAUUGGACUUGCACGUUUCGUGGCAUUCACUUUCGUUGAUUUGGGUCUGUUUUUCCGAUACGUCAAAGUCACUUAAGCACGCUCUUUUGCGCUGUCACCAAUGAAGCGGAAUACGUACCGAGUGGUUAGACACUAUUACUGCUGGAUGUGAUAUGUCCUUUGAUUAACUGCACUACAUCUGCUCGAUUUUAAUUACUUUUAAUCUAUCAGUUAAGUUGAAAAAAUAUUAAAUCACUUAAACACUAAACCGAAACUUAAACAACGGGCAUCACUUCUGCCUCGCGGAAUAAAACUUAAGAGUUAACACCUAAACGAACCGCGGACUAUCUAUAACGACGUAGGCACCUGCCUCACGAGGGGUAUCACUAUAACGACGUCGGACUUCCUUGAAGUCCCAGCUUAAGUAUUCGCCGCUACUCCGGUCACUCCGAAUUUUCCCGCGGCGUCGUCUUCUCACGAG